GACGAACGCUGGCGGCGUGCUUAACACAUGCAAGUCGAACGGAAAGGCCCUGCUUUUGUGGGGUGCUCGAGUGGCGAACGGGUGAGUAACACGUGAGUAACCUGCCCUUGACUUUGGGAUAACUUCAGGAAACUGGGGCUAAUACCGGAUAGGAGCUCCUGCUGCAUGGUGGGGGUUGGAAAGUUUCGGCGGUUGGGGAUGGACUCGCGGCUUAUCAGCCUGUUGGUGGGGUAGUGGCUUACCAAGGCUGUGACGGGUAGCCGGCCUGGGAGGGUGACCGGGGACAUGGGGACUGAGGUACGGAGCAGGCGGGUACGGGAGGCAGGGGGAGGGAGUAUGGCGGAGUGGGGGGGAGGCUGAGGCAGCGGCGCCGGGUGCGGGAUGACGGGCUUCGGGGGGUGAACCGCUGUCGCAGGUGACGAGGCGUGAGUGACGGUAAUGGGUAAGGAAGCACCGGCUAACUACGU
rnacentral:rRNA from 1 species